GUGAAUGUACUUAAAGUCUCAUUCUUUUAGAUUUUGAGAUAAAUCUAUUCUACACUCUUCGUCUUCUUCAACCAAGAGGUAAUUUCUAGGAAUCAAGAAAGUGCAUGUCUAGAAGUUCAAAUUUGAUUUAUUUCAUUCUUUUCUUUCCUAGAUCAAGGUAAUUGUUUUCUAAAAUCUAUACCUAUAUGUUGUUAUUAUGUCAUUGGAGAAAUUUAAGAUUUUAUAAUUGAAUGUUAUGUGAUUGUAAAUGAAUUUAUAUUAUAAUUGGUAUUUUUGGGCUAUGGUAUAUAUUAAAUUUAAUUCUUGUAUCUUUCUAAAACGACAUUAGUUGAGAAGAUCUAUAAUGUUUAUGAUUUUAUAUGAAAAACUAAAUUUAUUCAACUUUCUGGAAAUAAUUUUGCUGCACUAUCUGAACUAUUUAUCCAUUCUGGAAUUUUGUAGCUUGAAUCAUGUCUUCAUAUUUUGUAUGCAUAAACAAGAUGUCUUAAGGGUUUUAUAGGUUUUAGAAUCACUCAAAAACGUUAAGUUUUCAAUUUUAUAUGAUUUUUAAAAUUUCAGAAAGUAAAGCUGUCGUUUUGUAACGGGAAUUGUUAUUUAACCCGAUUAUGGGAUUUCUUUGGUACACAAACAUAUAUUAAAUUAAGUUUUAUAAUAGAUUAAAAUAAAGGCAAUUGAGUCUAGUUUCAAAUGGAGCAAGUUUCAUAUAUUUUCUUUUUAUCUUUGAAUUGUUAUGAAUUUUCUACGACAACAUGUCAAAUCUGUUUUUGUUGGACAGAUUUGUGCAUUUGUAUAAUUUUGAAUAUUAUUUGACUCUGGUUGAUUUUUGCUUGUCACUCAUGUCCAAUAAUAAAAAGUCAGCAUAUUGGUAUUUUUAUAUCAUCUAGUCACCAUCACAUGUUAUCCAGUUAGUAAGAGCUUCAAUAGAGCUCAAUGGGUCACUUCCAUGUGUCUUGCCUUGCUUGCACACACCAGUACAUUGCUCAGAGGCCAUAUUGAAAAGAUAAUAAUGAUAACAAAGGUAAAGAUAAAGUAUAAGGAAGAUGUUGGAUGUGAUGAGGAGCAGUAGUAGUGUGAGUUAUCGAGAACGAUCGCAUUUGCAUUUAAUUACUCAGAACGAGGUACAACUGGCAUACAAGCGCAUGAAGAAAAUAUACAUAUAAAGUAUUUUGUUAACUUUGGAAUGAGUAGCUCAAGCUUACUUGACAGUCUGUGACAACCUAGGUUUCCAAAUCCCCUUUUACGCCAAAAAAUUAGUUUGAUGUACAUAACGCCAAACCGUCCUCGUGAAACUCCGGACAUGACAUGCGUUAGUUCGCAUUAGUCUUACAACCUCCAACUUGUGAAGUGUGUUCAGCUCGCGAAAGCCUGACUAUGACACACAGUGAAGAAUCCCAAAAGACUCGGAGAUUCCUUCUAUGUCUAAUAAAUGCCCAAAUUUUAUUAUGUAUUUAUUACCCGAUAUAGCAGAUAUAUAAUUAAUAGGAAAUCGUGUAUUUAUGUAAAGGGGAAGUUACCCAAAUUGGUUUGUUACCAUAUUAAUGUACGUUUACCCAAUACUCUUCAUGAUAUUUUCCCUAUAAAUAUAAAGGGAAUGGACUAUAAAAAGGACUGACAUUCUGUAUGCAAAAACUCUACCAAAA